CUUUCCAACGAAGGCACCAGCGAUAAGGAAGGAAAGUGUGCCUGAUUGCAAAUAGGGCCUUCCAGAGGCUAUAAAAGCCUGGUAUAGCAAGGGCCGGGCAAGACCGGUGCCAGCCGCCGCGGUAACACCGGCGGCUCGAGUGGUAACCGUUAUUAUUGGGUCUAAAGGGUCUGUAGCAGGGCGGGUAAGUCUCUUGGGAAAUCUACCAGCUUAACCGUCAGGCUUUCAGGGGAUACUAUCUGCCUAGAGGCCGGGAGAGGUGAGAGGUACUUCAGGGGUAGGGGUGAAAUCCUGUAAUCCUUGGAGGACCACCAGUGGCGAAGGCGUCUCACCAGAACGGACCUGACGGCAAGGGACGAAAGCUAGGGGCACGAACCGGAUUAGAUACCCGGGUAGUCUUACCUGUAGCAGGGCUAGGGCAGGCUUAAAUGGGCUAGGACAGGCAGGGGAACGCAGGACUGGCAGGGGAGCGCAGCACUGACAUGGA
rnacentral:rRNA from 1 species